rnacentral:tRNA from 1 species
GCGGGAGUAGCUCAACAGGCAGAGCGCGGGUCUUCCAAACCUGAGGCCGCGAGUUCAAUUCUCGUCUCCCGCUUCA